GUGCAGCUAGAUGAUUCAGUAGAUAAAGUGAUGUGUCUGGAGUUAGGAAAACCUCAGUUCAAAUUCAGCCUUAGGCAUUUAAUAUCUGUUAGACUUUAGGCAAAUCAUUUAACCUUUCGUUACUUUAAUCUACUAGAGAAGGAAAUGGAAAAUCAUUUUACAGUCUUUGUCAAGAAAACUCCUUGGGCAAUAAUGACAUGCUAUGUUCCAUGGGUCACAAAGAGCUGGACACAGCUGAAUGACUGAACAAUAAAAUGGGCCAGGUUUUAUGGUAGGCAUUAGGUAUACAAACAGAAUUACUUAACCAAUUGUAAUUUACAAGAAGCUUACAUCUUAAAGUAGAAAACACAUCUAUAAGCACAAAAAGAAUGAAUUUAACAAAAAUAAACUCUAAGAUGUUAAAUGGAAGAUAGUUUGAAAGAGAACUCUAGUUGAAUGGAUCAAGAAAGCCUUCAUGUAAAAAAAAGGUGGUACUUGAGAAAGAGGAUUCUAUUCAGAAAGAUGUGGAGAAAGAUGAAGUCCCAGACAUAGUAGAUGGCUAGAACAAAGUUAAAUGGGCAGGAAAUGGAAAGUUCUGUGUGAGGAACAAAGUAGACCAAUUUGGUGGCAUUAUGAAUUUCAGAAAAGGUUUGGGGAGAAGGUCCAAUAAAUCUGGAAAGGUAAACACAUGAGUUUAAAUUUUAUCCUAGUGACAAAAGCAGGUCAUUGGAAUUUAUUGAAUAAGUGAAUAUUUUAUUCAGGUAUUAACUUAAAGAAUAUUAGUAGCAGGAGGGACUAGUAAGAAUUAGAAAGAAAUCAGGGAGAUUGAAUAAAGAGGCCAUUAUAAUAAUCUAGGGAAGAAGUGAUGGGGCCUGACCCAAGGUUUAGCUAUGUGAAUAGUGAAAAAAAGAUCUGAUGCAAGAGAUAUUGUGGAUGCAAAAAAAAGGCAAAAGUUGGCAACUGGUUGUAAAUAUGGAUUGAGAGAAGAGGAGUCAAGGAUAGCACUGAGGUUACAAUCUUAGGAGAUUUGAAGGUUAUUAAGGUCUUCAACAGAAAUAGGGAAAUUUGUUCUAGAGCAGGGAGAAAUUUGAAGCAGGAUUUUUUGGGAAAGAUAACAAGUUUCAUUUCGAACACAUUGAGCUUGAGAUGUCACCAAUUUGAAAUAUAUGAUAGGCAAUUGGAGGUAUAGGACUGAAGUUUACUGUGGAAACUAUGAAUCAAGAGCAAAGAGGUGAUAAUUAAACUCCUAAGAACUGGUGAUGUUACUAAGGUAGAGAGUGUAGAAAGAGAAGGAAAUAGGAAAGAACAAAGGGGAACACUCAUAGUUCAGAUUCAUUAUAUACAUGAUAAACUAGCAAAAGAGAUGAAGGAUAUCCUCCUAUUAAGGAUUCCUAUCCCUAAAAGCAAAUUUUUAUAUUAUUGCUUAAUAUUUCAUGAUUAGGAAAGAAAGGUGAUGGGGUGAGGAAAGAGUGAGAUAUCUACUUAUGCUUGAAGAAGAUGUCAAUAUUCAACUUUAUAUAGGUCACUACAAAGAUCAAUAAUGUUGAAUUAGCCUUGGAGGAAGGCCAGAACAUUUCUAUUGUGGAUCAUAAGAUGAAUUCAGAAUAAAACUAUAAUAAAUGACUCCAUCAUUAAUUUUCCUAGUUAUUCUCUCUUGUCAGAGUAUUGUGAAGAUUGCAUUUGGCUCUCCCCUGAUUGUAACAGUGAAGGUACUUAGCUCUUCCCUUAUUGUGAAGAUUUAAAUUGUAACAUAUCUAUUUUUAGAUUUUAAUCCUCAUAGUGUAAACACCCUACUUAAAAGUUAAGAAUGGAGACCAACCUAUUUUUAGAUUCAAUCACAGAAAGUGCAAAUAUGGUACUUAAAAGUUAAGUAUGAAGAUCUGCCCAUUUUGAUCUAAUUGACAAAAAGUACAAAUAUCUUAUUUAAUCAUGAAGUGAGAGGUCUAUGACCCACAUGUGUGAUAGUGUGUAACAAAUCAGAAUUGACUAACUGCCUUCUGGUGUAAAAUGGAGAUUUAAACUCCAGACUUCAAUCCCCAGAAGUCUUUGGUACUUCCCAGAAUUCCCUAUAAUCUCACCUGAGUCCCCACCUGGGCAAGAUCACAAUUUGUAUUUAAACUGGCCUACUUCGGCCUCUCUCUUCCUCUACUCAGAGAUUGCAACAUGUAGUAAGUAGGCUGUGAAUGGGCUAAUCAGCUCUAGGAAUGUGGUUUAUUAUUUUGUAUCUUUGUUUUCUAAUAAUGUUUAAUAAACCCCUAAAAUAUAAUAUUUCUAUUACUAGAGACUAAUUUAAUUUUUACACUGGGCAGUUCUAGAGCAGAGUGUCAACUCUGAUUGGUAGAUGUGGAAUUGGAGGAAGUGAUGCAAGACAAAAUGCCUUUAAAAGAGAAAGGGCUACACAGAGUGGUGAUUCUUGGAGCAGAGAUAAACUUGGACUUCCACUUCUGCUGGAUAUCAGUUCUUCAUGCUUUCAAGUUGAGCCUGGUGAAGAGAGGCAGAAGAAUCUGCUGACUGGACUGACACUUGGCUAGAAUGCUGAGGAGGAAGGAAAGAAGGAAAUAUGGAGUAACUGACAACCCUUUCCCCAUUUCCCUUGACUUAUAUCAGGUGCCACGGGCAUGAGAGUGCUGGCUGAGUUCAGAGUGCAGCAGAGGAGGUAUUGACCCUAACUUUUACAAUGCAUUUAAAAAAUGUUUUGCUUUGUUUCUAAUCACUAAGAUCAAACAUAAAUUUCUCUAUUUGACAAAGUCUUUUACAACUUGGCUCCAACUUACCUUUCCAGCCUUAUUUGAGUCCUCUUAUGUGAGACCUCUACUUAAAUCAGAAAUGUGAAGACCUCUACUCCACCCCUACUUAAACCUGCUUUAGGGGAAGAAACUCCUUGCUGAACAAUGAAAGAUACUUAAACCCAUAUUUAUAGUAAGACAAAAGUUCUUAAGCUGUGCCUAUUUUUAGAUCUAAUACAAAAGGGUGCUAAGUACCUAUAAAGGUCAGACAACUUGUGAAUUUACAAGGAUCAAAGUAGUGAGAACUUACUCAGAGAUUUUUUCAGGUGUGAACUUAAUCAAAGGUUUAAAGUCUACUCAGGUGUGAAUUAAGAAUGGUCUGUCCUUUGGAAAAAGUCUACUGUGAUUGGUAGAUGGGAGAACUUAGGGGAGGUGACAUAGGAGAAAAUUCCCUUUAUAAGGAGAGGAAAAGCUGAGUCUCAGGACAGUCAGAAGAAUCUCUCUCUGGAGAUGGCUGGCUGGUUGAACUGGUGUCUCUGAACACUAGAAUCCUUGCUUGGACAAAUCUUGUGGUGAGUGAUUAAAGACUGACUGCUCUCUCUCUUAAGACUCAGGUCUAGGCCAUGUUGGCCAAGGCCCUUCAUACUCAUUUCUCGCUUACUCUCUCUCUCACUUUCAUUAAUUCCUCAUUUGUAUUAAUUAAAAUUCUCUAUAAAACCCAGCUGACUUGGGUAUAUUUUAAUAAUUGGGAAUUUUUCCCUGGUGACCACCUUAUAUUUGAUUUAAAACAAGACACCGUCUUUAAACAUAUUUUCUGCAGUCACAAUUUACUCAUCCACACUAUUAUCUGCAUCAAUUUAUGUUUUCCACUAUUUUAAUCAUCACAGUAGGAUAAAUUGGAGAUAAUCAGUGUGGAGAAGACACUAGAAUGAAAGGGAUUUGGAAAAGGCUUCCUUUAAAGGUAAGAUUUAGCAGAGACUUACAGGAAGUCAAGGAAUUUGGAGGGGAGGAUGAGAAGAGCCAGAAUUCUAGACUUGGGCUAGUUGGCACAAUGUGUAAGCAUUCUCAGCUUGGAGAGUAGAAGACAUAAGUUCAAAUCUUUCCACAGACACUUACUCGCUGUGUGACUCUGAGCAAGUAAUUUUAAUGUUUUUUCUCAGUUCCCUUAUUUAUAAAAUAGGGAUAAUAAUAGCUCCUACCUUUCAUAAUUGUUGCAAGAUUCUGAUAAGAUAAGUAGAGUACUUUGGAACCCUUGAAGUGCUAUAUGCUAUUGUAUUUAAUGUAUUAUAAUAUGCCAAAUAUUAUAUGACAUAUCAUACAAUACAUAUUAUGUAUACAUUAUGUUUCUCUUGAAAGAAAGCAAAUUCUUUGUUGUUCUAUUUUUGGUUUUUUGUUGUGGUUCUUAUUUUGUUAUGUGUCUUUAGUCCUUCACACAGUAGAUACUUGCUUAUAUUCUAGACAGGAAGAGUGUAUCACGACUUCAUUAGCUGAAGACUUUUACUGCUUUUCUUGUUUUCUUAGACUCCUUGAAUAGAUCACCUGAAUGAAAUUACUUAGAAUCAUGGAAUUUAAAGUGAUCUAAGUGAUCCCACUCCUACUCAUGCAAAACAUUUAUUUUGUUCUGACCUCUCAAAGUCUCAAUUUUGAAGUUUUCAUGACUUGAAUUUGGAUGUGGCAUCCAAAAUUUUCAUUGCAUUAAGAUAAACUUAAUGGACAUCCUUAGUAAGGAUUUCAAGUAAUUAUGAGGCAUUUUAUGGUCCAUUCAACAUUUUUUGGAAACUACAAUGACAGAAAAGAUUGAACCAUAUCAGCUUUAAUUUACAUUUUUCAACUCUUUCUACCUAAGGCAGAUAAUGUAUAAUACAUGUUUUCUCACGCUUUAUAGAAGAUAAAAGUUGAACAACAAAGACAAGUCAAAAAAAAGUCAGAAAAUAAGAUGAAAAAGAAGGAGCAUAGCUAUCAGCAAGCUGUGUUGCUAUGACUCUGCCUUUUAUUUAAUCAAAUAAUGCACUGGUGCAUCUUGCAGAUCAAUCAAGAGAAUGACACUUGGGUACUGAACAAUGCUAUUGGCUGAAAGUUGAGACCAGGAAAGUAAAUCCCUUCAUCUUUCACCAUUUUGGGGGAGGAAAAUUAGAGAAGUGACUUACUCUCCUCAUAUCUAUGGGGAUUUUUUUCCCCCUUGGAAAGCUGCAUCUCCAAUUAAACUCAAUAUAUAGUAAAUGCUUUUGCUGUGAACCAACCAACCAGAAAUCUCUAAUAAUUGGAUUUUUUCACAUUCAACAUCCUACUUUUAUGAGAAAUGUCAAAUAAGAAACAAGCUAGCAUAAAUAUUUUACAAAAUAACUUCUAGAAGAUGUCGCAAGGUAUCUACAUAUAAAUCAUGUAUAUAUGUAUAUGUAGGUAUGUAUAUAUAUGCACAU